CUGAACUCUGAUACAGUUCUUCAGUACAGAGCCAUCUCUAGCCUCUCUGACUUGGUUGUCUGUGUCUGCAGGACCUCAGAUUGUACCUGCCCCCCAGCCUUGAGCAGCCCACCUAGAGGGUGGAGUCUUCUGACCUUGGUGGAGUCUAUUGUAUGCCGCAUCUGCAGCUUCCUUGGCCUCAGGAUAUGCAAGUUUAGAACCACCAGUCUAGAAGCUCUUAAAAAUUCUGAAUCCUGGUUGGGGAGAUGCUCUUCCAGAGGUCCAGAGUUCAAUUCCCAGCAACCACUUGUGGCUUACAAUGAUAUACAGUGGGAUUCAUUGUCCUC
rnacentral:lncRNA from 1 species